AUGGACCUCCAGAUUUCCUUACUGAUGGAGUCUCACUCUGUAGCCCAAGCUGGAGUGGCGUGAUCUCGACUCACUGCAACCUCCGCCUCCUGGGCUCAAGUGAUUCUCGUGCCUCAGCCUCCUGAGUAGCUGGGACUACAGGUCAUAGAAUUUUCCACACUCCUUGACGGAGGUUCUUAACCCUUAUCCAUCAGCAUUCUCAGACAGCACCUCCGGUUAGGGACAGUAUCUGACCGUCCGACAUCCCUGCAGCCCCCAUGCUGUCACACAGACUCAGCCUCAGGUAGAUGGUUUCCGUAGAUGGUGGCUUUCUUUGGACCCUUGAUAUCAACCAGUUACUAUUUG
rnacentral:antisense_RNA from 1 species